rnacentral:rRNA from 1 species
AUGAAGAACGUAGCGAAAUGCGAUACUUGGUGUGAAUUGCAGAAUCCCGUGAACCAUCGAGUUUUUGAACGCAAGUUGCGCCCGGAGCCGCGAGGCCGAGGGCACGCC